AUUGAACGCUGGCGGCAUGCCUUACACAUGCAAGUCGAACGGCAGCACGGGUGCUUGCACCUGGUGGCGAGUGGCGAACGGGUGAGUAAUACAUCGGUACCUGUCCUGUAGUGUGGAUAGACCGGCGAAAACCGGGUUCAUACCGCAUACGAUCUACCGUUGUAAGUGGGGGGCCUUCGGGCCUUGCGCCAUUGGGUUGGCCGAUGGCUGCUUAGCUAGUUGGUGGGGUAAAGGUCUACCAAGGCGACGAUCAGUAGUUGGUCUGAUAGGACGGUCACCCACACUGGGACUGAGACACGGCCCAGACGCCUACGGGAGGCAGCAGUGGGGAAUGGUGGACAAUGGGCGAAAGCCUGAUCCAGCAAUGCCGCGUGUGUGAAGAAGGCCUUCGGGUUGUAAAGCACUUUUGUCCGGAAAGAAAUCCUUGGCUCUAAGACAGUCGGGGGAUGACGGUACCGGAAGAAUAAGCACCGGCUAACUACGUG
rnacentral:rRNA from 1 species